rnacentral:rRNA from 1 species
AGAGUUUGAUCCUGGCUCAGGACGAACGCUGGCGGCGUGCCUAACACAUGCAAGUCGAACGGAACUGUUUUGAAAGAUUUCUUCGGAAUGAAUUUGAUUUAGUUUAGUGGCGGACGGGUGAGUAACGCGUGAGUAACCUGCCUUCAAGAGGGGGAUAACAUUCUGAAAAGAAUGCUAAUACCGCAUGACAUAUCGGAACCACAUGGUUCUGAUAUCAAAGAUUUUAUCGCUUGAAGAUGGACUCGCGUCCGAUUAGUUAGUUGGUGAGGUAACGGCUCACCAAGACCGCGAUCGGUAGCCGGACUGAGAGGUUGAACGGCCACAUUGGGACUGAGACACGGCCCAGACUCCUACGGGAGGCAGCAGUGGGGGAUAUUGCGCAAUGGGGGCAACCCUGACGCAGCAACGCCGCGUGAAGGAUGAAGGUUUUCGGAUUGUAAACUUCUUUUAUUAAGGACGAAAAACGACGGUACUUAAUGAAUAAGCUCCGGCUAACUACGUGCCAGCAGCCGCGGUAAUACGUAGGGAGCAAGCGUUGUCCGGAUUUACUGGGUGUAAAGGGUGCGUAGGCGGCUUUGCAAGUCAGAUGUGAAAUCUAUGGGCUCAACCCAUAAACUGCAUUUGAAACUGUAGAGCUUGAGUGAAGUAGAGGCAGGCGGAAUUCCCCGUGUAGCGGUGAAAUGCGUAGAGAUGGGGAGGAACACCAGUGGCGAAGGCGGCCUGCUGGGCUUUAACUGACGCUGAGGCACGAAAGCGUGGGUAGCAAACAGGAUUAGAUACCCUGGUAGUCCACGCUGUAAACGAUGAUUACUAGGUGUGGGGGGUCUGACCCCUUCCGUGCCGGAGUUAACACAAUAAGUAAUCCACCUGGGGAGUACG